rnacentral:rRNA from 1 species
GGGCCGAAUAUCUAAGGUUUCCAGGGUAAAGCUGAUCUGCCCUGGGUAAGUCGGGGCCUAAGGCAAGGCUGAGAAGCGUAGCUGAUGGACAACAGGUUUAGAUUCCUGUACCACAUGAUAUCAGAACUGUGGGGACGCAGAGGGAUAAGAUGACCGGGGAACAGAACUCCGGGCAAGCGUAGGAGGUGUCAGGCAGGCAAAUCCGCCUGAUAAGCCAAAGACGUGACGCGGACCGAACUAAAGUAGGGAAGCAUCUGAUUCCAGCUGCCGAGAAAAGCCGCUAUUGUGUAUCAUGUGCCCGUACCGUAAACCGACACAGGUGGAUGAGGAGAGAAUCCUAAGGCCGGCGGGAGAAGCAUUGUUAAGGAACUCGGCAAAAUGACCCCGUAACUUCGGGAUAAGGGGUGCCAGAGAGAUCUGGCCGCAGAGAAUAGGCUCAAGCAACUGUUUAGCAAAAACACAGGUCUAUGCGAAACCGUAAGGUGAUGUAUAUGGGCUGACGCCUGCCCGGUGCUGGAAGGUUAAGAGGAGAGGUUAGAGCAAUCGAAGCUUUGAAUUGAAGCCCCAGUAAACGGCGGCCGUAACGAUAACGGUCCUAAGGUAGCGAAAUUCCUUGUCGGGUAAGUUCCGACCCGCACGAAAGGCGUAAUGAUUUGAGCGCUGUCUCGACAACGCACCCGGUGAAAUUGAAAUACCAGUGAAGAUGCUGGUUACCUGCGCCAGGACGGAAAGACCCCAUGGAGCUUUACUCCAGCUUGAUACUGGGAUUCGGUAAUGCAUGCACAGGAUAGGUGGGAGGCUACGAGUACGGAACUCCGGUUUCGUAUGAGCCGCUGUUGGGAUACCACCCUUGCGUUACUGGGUUUCUAACCAUGGUCCAUGAUCUGGAUCGGGGACAAUGUCAGGUGGGGAGUUUGACUGGGGCGGUCGCCUCCGAAAGGGUAUCGGAGGCGCUCAAAGGUUCCCUCAGAAUGGUUGGAAACCAUUCGAAGAGUGCAAAGGCAGAAGGGAGCUUGACUGCGAGACCGACGGGUCGAGCAGGUAGGAAACUAGGACUUAGUGAUCCGGUGGUAUGAAAGUGGGAUUGCCAUCGCUCAACGGAUAAAAGCUACCCUGGGAUAACAGGCUUAUUACUCCCAAGAGUUCACAUCGACGGAGUGGUUUGGCACCUCGAUGUCGGCUCAUCGCAUCCUGGGGCUGAAGUAGGUCCCAAGGGUUGGGCUGUUCGCCCAUUAAAGCGGUACGCGAGCUGGGUUCAGAACGUCGUGAGACAGUUCGGUCCCUAUCCGGCGCAGGCGGAGGAUAUUUGAGAGGAGCUGUCCUUAGUACGAGAGGACCGGGAUGGACGGACCGCUGGUGUACCGGUUGAGCUGCUAAGCUCAUGGCCGGGUAGCCAAGUCUGGCAGGGAUAAACGCUGAAGGCAUCUAAGCGUGAAGCCCCCCUCAAGAUGAGAUAUCCCAUUCGAAAGAAGUAAGACCCCUUGAAGACGACGAGGUAGAUAGGGCAGAGGUGGAAGUGCAGUAAUGCAUGGAGCUGACUGUUACUAAUCGGUCGAGGGCUUACC